AGUGGAUGGGGAGCAACCUAGUUGUGCGUGUGUAAAGGUAGUGCCAAGAAAAGCGAUGAUCAUGUUGAAAAUCAAUUCCCGGUACCCGAAACCGACACAGGUGGGCAAGUAGAGAAUACUAAGGGGCGCGAGGUAACUCUCUCCAAGGAACUCGGCAAAAUGACCCCGUAACUAGGGAGAAGGGGUGCCACCGAGAGGUGGUCGCAGUGAAGAGGCCCAGGCGACUGUUUAGCAAAAACAUAGGUCUCUGCAAACUCGAAAGAGGAGGUAUAGGGGCUGACGCCUGCCCAGUGCCGGAAGGUUAAAGAAGUUGGUCAGUUUUAGGAUGAAGCUAGCGACUGAAGCCCCGGUGAACGGCGGCCGUAACUAUAACGGUCCUAAGGUAGCGAAAUUCCUUGUCGGGUAAGUUCCGACCCGCACGAAAGGCGUAACGAUCUGGGCGCUGUCUCGGAGAGAGGCUCGGCGAAAUAGGAUUGUCUGUGAAGAUACGGACUACCUGCAUUUGGACAGAAAGACCCUAUGAAGCUUUACUAUAGCUUGGAAUUGUGUUCGGGCUUCCUGUGCGCAGGAUAGGUGGGAGGCGUAGAAGGUAUUCUUGUGGGGAUACUGGAGCCAACGGUGAGAUACCACUCUCAGGAGGCUAGGAUUCUAACUUAAUUAAGGACAGUUUCAGGUGGGUAGUUUGACUGGGGCGGUCGCCUCCAAAAAGGUAACGGAGUCGUACAAAGGUUCCCUCAGACUGGUUGGAAAUCAGUCGAAGAGUGCAAAGGCAGAAGGGAGCUUGACUGCGAGAAGUACAGUUCGAGCAGGGUGGAAACACGGUCUUAGUGAUCCGACGGUGCUGUGUGGAAGGGCCGUCGCUCAACGGAUAAAAGUUACUCUAGGAUAACAGGCUGAUCUCCCCCAAGAGUUCACAUCGACGGGGAGGUUUGGCACCUCGAUGUCGGCUCAUCGCAACCUGGGGCGGAAGUACGUCCCAAGGGUUGGGCUGUUCGCCCAUUAAAGCGGUACGUGAGCUGGGUUCAGAACGUCGUGAGACAGUUCGGUCCAUAUCCGAUGUAGGCGUGAGAAUAUUGAGAGGAGCCUUCCUUAGUACGAGGGGACCGGGAAGGACGCACCGCUGGUGUACCUGUUAUGAUGCCAAUUGUAAACGCAGGGUAGCCAAGUGCGGAGAGGAUAACCGCUGAAAGCAUCUAAGUGGGAAGCCCACCUCAAGAUGAGUAUUCUGGUGUAAGGUCACGGGAAGACGACCCGUAAAUAGGCACGAGGUGGAAGUGCAGAGAUGUAUGAAGCCGAAGUGUACUAAUAGACCGUCGGCUUGAC
rnacentral:rRNA from 1 species